CCUACGGGUGGCAGCAGUAGGGAAUAUUGCUCAAUGCUGGAAACCCUGAAGCAGCAACGCCGCGUGGAUGAUGAAGGCUUUCGGAUUGUAAACUCCUUUUGUGAGAGAAGAUAAUGACUGUAACUCACGAAUAAGCACUGGCCAACUCCGUGCUAGCAGCCGCCGUAAUACUGAGGGCGCAAGCGUUACUCGGAAUGACUGGGCGUAAAGAGAUCGCAGGCGGGGUUGUAAGUCAGAAGUGAAAGACUAUAGCUUAACUAUAGUAAGGCAUGUGAAACUAUAAGACUAGAGUGUGAGAGAGGUAGGUAGAAUUCUUGGUGUAGGGGUAAAAUGCGUAGAUAUCAGGAGGAAUACUGAUAGCGAAGGCGGCAUACUGG
rnacentral:rRNA from 1 species